UCGCUUUGGCAGCACAUCUACUAAAAUUGGAAUGAUACAGAGAAGAUUAGCAUGGCCCCUGCUCAAGGAUGAUUAUAUAUAUUAUUUCUUUUCUCUUAGUCUU